GUUGAACGCUGGCGGCAUGCCUUACACAUGCAAGUCGAACGGCAGCACGGGAGCAAUCCUGGUGGCGAGUGGCGAACGGGUGAGUAAUAUAUCGGAACGUGCCCAGUCGUGGGGGAUAACGCAGCGAAAGCUGUGCUAAUACCGCAUACGAUCUACGGAUGAAAGCGGGGGAUCGCAAGACCUCGCGCGAUUGGAGCGGCCGAUAUCAGAUUAGCUAGUUGGUGGGGUAAAGGCCCACCAAGGCGACGAUCUGUAGCUGGUCUGAGAGGACGACCAGCCACACUGGAACUGAGACACGGUCCAGACUCCUACGGGAGGCAGCAGUGGGGAAUUUUGGACAAUGGGCGCAAGCCUGAUCCAGCAAUGCCGCGUGCAGGAUGAAGGCCUUCGGGUUGUAAACUGCUUUUGUACGGAACGAAACGGCCCUUUCUAAUACAGGGGGCUGAUGACGGUACCGUAAGAAUAAGCACCGGCUAACUACGUGCCAGCAGCCGCGGUAAAAC
rnacentral:rRNA from 1 species